rnacentral:rRNA from 1 species
GACGAACGCUGGCGGCGUGCCUAAUACAUGCAAGUAGAACGCUGAAGGAGGAGCUUGCUUCUCUGGAUGAGUUGCGAACGGGUGAGUAACGCGUAGGUAACCUGCCUGGUAGCGGGGGAUAACUAUUGGAAACGAUAGCUAAUACCGCAUAAUAGUAGAUGUUGCAUGACAUUUGCUUAAAAGGUGCAAUUGCAUCACUACCAGAUGGACCUGCGUUGUAUUAGCUAGUUGGUGGGGUAACGGCUCACCAAGGCGACGAUACAUAGCCGACCUGAGAGGGUGGUCGGCCACACUGGGACUGAGACACGGCCCAGACUCCUACGGGAGGCAGCAGUAGGGAAUCUUCGGCAAUGGACGGGAGUCUGACCGAGCAACGCCGCGUGAGUGAAGAAGGUUUUCGGAUCGUAAAGCUCUGUUGUAAGAGAAGAACGAGGGUGAGAGUGGAAAGUUCACACUGUGACGGUAUCUUACCAGAAAGGGACGGCUAACUACGUG